AUACGUACUAAUUCACAUAACCACCGUGGCUGACCCCUUAACUUUUUGAUUAAAGAAUAAUGUAGCAAGCGCACUUGUUUAUAUAGUAAAUUACAUUUUUUAAUAGGGUAGGGUUGUGACUACCUUAACGACUCGGAGCUGGUACUGUCAUAUCGCUGGUUUGAAAUAACGAAAUUUAAGGAGAAAUUUAGCCGAUUUCAAGGAAUAUUUUGAUUGUAUCUACAUUUACUUGAAAAGACUUAAUGUGUUUGUUGCAGAUAGAUGAGCAUCGAUUAUACUUAUAUUUUUAGUGACUCAAAAAAUCUCUAGCUGGUUUAAAAAUGCAUAAAUUAAAAAAAAUUAGAACGUAGAAAGAACUAUGUUAACAAUAGAUGGCGGUUAAAACAAAUUGAGAAAAGAUUAUAAAGAACGAAGCAUUAGUAGAUAUGAAACAUGUGUAAACGUUACGUUACGCACGGAUCAAAUAAAUGAAACAUAAACGAAGAAUAAUGCAUAUGCAAAGAAUAACGAUAGAGGAGAAACGAUUAAACGUCCAAAGAAGGUAAAGGAAUUGUUGCCUGAAGACACGAAAGUCGUUCAGUUUCUAUCAAGGCACUGCAAUUGGCACGAUGUUCAUACAUUUUUUUAAACCAAUUGCUUACCGUCGACAAGAGAGGGAUGCUUUUAAGCUUAUGGACGGCAAUGGCGUCAAUGCGUAAAUAGCUUUGACGAUAAUUAAAACCUUCGUUGGGUAAAAUCAAAUCAUACAAUGUGCAUUUAGAGAAUUCCGC